rnacentral:rRNA from 1 species
GACGAACGCUGGCGGCGUGCUUAACACAUGCAAGUCGAACGGAAAGGCCCUGCUUUUGUGGGGUGCUCGAGUGGCGAACGGUUGAGUAACACGUGAGUAACCUGCCCUUGACUUUGGGAUAACUUCAGGAAACUGGGGCUAAUACCGGAUAGGAGCUCCUGCUUCAUGGUGGUGGUUGGAAAGUUUCGGCGGUUGGGGAUGGACUCGCGGCUUAUCAGCUUGUUGGUGGGGUAGUGGCUUACCAAGGCUUUGACGGGUAGCCGGCCUGAGAGGGUGACCGGCCACAUUGGGACUGAGAUACGGCCCAGACUCCUACGGGAGGCAGCAGUGGGGAAUAUUGCACAAUGGGCGGAAGCCUGAUGCAGCAAAGCCGCGUGCGGGAUGACGGCCUUCGGGUUGUAAACCGCUUUCGCCUGUGACGAAGCGUGAGUGACGGUAAUGGGUAAAGAAGCACCGGCUAACUACGUG